rnacentral:rRNA from 1 species
AGCAGCAGCCGCGGUAAUACGUAGGGUGCAAGCGUUAAUCGGAAUUACUGGGCGUAAAGCGUGCGCAGGCGGUCCGCUAAGACAGAUGUGAAAUCCCCGGGCUUAACCUGGGAACUGCAUUUGUGACUGGCGGGCUAGAGUAUGGCAGAGGGGGGUAGAAUUCCACGUGUAGCAGUGAAAUGCGUAGAGAUGUGGAGGAAUACCGAUGGCGAAGGCAGCCCCCUGGGCCAAUACUGACGCUCAUGCACGAAAGCGUGGGGAGCAAACAGGAUUAGAUACCCGCGUAGUCCCUGUCUCUUAUAC